CUACGGGCUGCUCCAGUGAGGAAUAUUGCACAAUGGGGGGAACCCUGAUGCAGCAACGCCGCGUGGAGGAUGACGCAUUUCGGUGUGUAAACUCCUUUUAUAUGUCAAGAAAAUGACGGUAGCAUAUGAAUAAGCACCGGCUAACUCCGUGCCAGCAGCCGCGGUAAUACGGAGGGUGCAAGCGUUACUCGGAAUCACUGGGCGUAAAGGACGCGUAGGCGGGUUGGAAAGUCAGGUGUGAAAUCCUACAGCUUAACUGCAGAACUGCACUUGAAACUUCUAAUCUAGAGUAUGGGAGGGGGAGAUGGAAUUAGUGGUGUAGGGGUAAAAUCCGUAGAUAUCACUAGGAAUACCUAAAGCGGAGGCGAUCUCCUGGAACAUUACUGACGCUAAGGCGUGAAAGCGUGGGGAGCAAACAGGAUUAGAUACCCUAGUAGUC
rnacentral:rRNA from 1 species